rnacentral:rRNA from 1 species
ACUCAAAGGAAUUGACGGGGACCCGCACAAGCAGCGGAGCGUGUGGUUUAAUUCGAUGCAACGCGAAGCACCUUACCAAGACUUGACAUGGAGUUGCACCGUCCGUAAUGGGACGUCUCCUUCGGGAGCGGCUCCACAGGUGCUGCAUGGCUGUCGUCAGCUCGUGUCGUGAGAUGUUGGGUUCAGUCCCGCAACGAGCGCAACCCCUAUCGUUAGUUGAAUGAUCUAGCGAGACUGCCUCUACAAGGAGGAGGAAGGCGGGGAUGACGUCAAGUCAGCACGGCCCUUACGUCUUGGGCGACACACACGCUACAAUGGUCGGGACAAAGAGUUGCCAACCCGCGAGGGGGAGCUAAUCUCGUCAAACCCGGCCUCAGUUCAGAUUGGAGGCUGCAACCCGCCUCCAUGAAGUGGGAGUUGCUAGUAACCGUGGGUCAGCACACCACGGUGAAUCCGUUCCCGGGUCUUGUACACACCGCCCGU